UGUAGUCAUAUGCUUGUCUCAAAGAUUAAGCCAUGCAUGUCUAAGUACAUACUUUUGCACGGUGAAACCGCGAAUGGCUCAUUAAAUCAGUUAUGGUUCCUUAGAUCGUUCAUAUUACAUGGAUAACUGUGGUAAUUCUAGAGCUAAUACAUGCAAAAAGCUCCGACCGUAUGGGAAGAGCGCUUUUAUUAGACCAAAACCAAUGGGGUCGCAAGAUCCCUUUGUAUGGCGACUCUGGAUAACUUUGUGCUGAUCGCAUGGCCUCGAGCCGGCGACGUAUCUUUCAAAUGUCUGCCCUAUCAACUUUCGAUGGUAAGCGAUUUGCCUACCAUGGUUGCAACGGGUAACGGGGAAUG
rnacentral:rRNA from 1 species